GUGCAGCAGUCGAGAAACCUCCGCAAUACACGAAAGUGUGACGGGGCCAUCCCGAGUGCCGUCCGCUGAGGACGGCUUUUCCCCAGUGUACACAGCUGGGGGAAUAAGGAGAGGGCAAGCCUGGUGUCAGCCGCCGCGGUAAUACCAGCUCUCCGAGUGGUGGGGACGCUUAUUGGGCCUAAAGCAUCCGUAGCCGGCUGGGCAAGUCCUCCGUUAAAUCCAACGAUUCAAUCGUUGGGCUGCGGGGGAUACUGUCCAGCUUGGGGGCGGGAGAGGCCGACGGUAUUCCCGGGGUAGGGGUGAAAUCCUAUAACCCCGGGAGGACCACCAGGGGCGAAGGCUGUCGGCUAGAACGCGCCCGACGGUGAGGGAUGAAAGCUGGGGGAGCGAACCGGAUUAGAUAUCCGUGUAGU
rnacentral:rRNA from 1 species